CAGUAUUGGCCCAACAGAGGCACGGAGACCUACGGCUUCAUCCAGGUCACGUUGCUAGAUACCAUCGAGCUGGCCACAUUCUGCGUCAGGACAUUCUCUCUGCACAAAAUGGCUCCAGUGAGAAACGCGAGGUCCGCCAGUUCCAGUUUACGGCGUGGCCGGACCAUGGCGUGCCCGAAUACCCAACGCCCUUCCUGGCUUUCCUGCGGAGAGUCAAGACCUGCAACCCGCCAGAUGCCGGCCCCAUCGUGGUUCACUGC
rnacentral:lncRNA from 1 species